CUCUCUCUCUCUCUCUCCCUCUCUCUCUCCUUCUGACUCUUGCUCUAUCUCUUUCUCGUCAACGAUCAAAUCCAAGGUCCAGAUUAAGUCCGGACAAUCAACAAAAAAGAUCGCAUCUCACCUUAUAACAAAGACCCAUCAAAGGAAUUCCUUUUCUGUUAAAUGAGAGAUUUCCAUAAAUCAACCAUUGACACAGAGAGAGCUUUGUGUUAUUAUUAUUUUUUUUUUUUUACUUUUUUUUUCCUCUCUCCCCUAUAUCUCAAAGGGAAAAAAAAAUGUAAAAUUACAACUUUCUCCCUCUACAAAACCGGUUUUCGCCACUAUCUAGAAGGGCAAAAUUGGAAUUUCAGAUGGGUUCUUAGAGAGAGAAAGAGAGCAACAAACAAAACCGUUCUUCGGCUUCGAUGAGAGCAACUUUUACACAUACUCACUCUCUUCUCUGUCUGUCGAC
rnacentral:misc_RNA from 1 species